AUUAGCACAGAGUCAACUUGAGGAAUUAGUUGAAGGAGCAUGGAUUCACUUAGAUACUCCAGUGCUGAGUCCCCUCGCUUGAAACAGAACGCGAGAUGUGUUACAGCAGAAGUGCAGCAGCCCCGAGAGUCUUCACCAGACCCACAGCCCGAGCCCAUCAGAACCAACCCCGUGUGUCCCGGGGGAGAGAGCCACCCCUUGGUUGUGAUGUUUAGAUGUUGAGUCUUGCUUCCUCCUGUCUGGUGUGGGGGGUGGAGACUGGAGAAGGCAGCGCCCGGUAGGUGGACCUGGUCUGACCCCUCCUUCCAUCCUCCAGAAACUGAUUAUGAGCCAGGUCCUUGUUGCACCCCAAG
rnacentral:lncRNA from 1 species